CCGUUCAACCGGCGGGGAUCGUGGUUUCAGUGCCACGUCCAAGCGGAGCUGAAGCUGAAGCCCGAGCUGAAGGAGUGGUUUCGGUGCCACGUCGGGCGCAACACGGCCUGCGUGUUGGGAAACAAGCAGUUCCACAUCUGCUCGUGCGUCGACGCACGACAUCAUCGUGCACACGGUGUUUGCAGAACACGAUCUCUCCUUUUGUUGUCCAGCAAGGUUAUUCCAGUGUCAAUCGUCGAUUAAACAUGCAUCCCGGGCGUCUUUAUGUUCGACAUGGCUCAGAAGGGCAGCAGGAGCAAAUAGCCAGACCGCUAAUAGGCCAGAAGGGUCUUGUAGCAGCGUAUUAACCAGGACUUCAUCAGGGCCAAAGAAGAUAAAUUUUUAUUCACCUAUCAUCAAAAGACCUGGGUACCCCAAGAGCCUGCAUUAUUUUUUUUAUUUGUUCCUUGUGAAAUUACCCGGCGCCCUCCAGUGCCUGCAUUGACUGUGUAUAAGGACCCAUGCUAUGAAUCCGUGGCUUUGUUUCAAUAAAACAUGGCAUCAACAAUUUUUCCCACAUUAUCAAGCUAGUGUUGGAACUAGGUCGUGCCUUUUUUUCACAUUUGCUAUUUUCAGUGUUAUAUUACUUAGCAAUCCUCAAUUUAAUGGUUCAUCAACUGCUG